CCUACGGGUGGCAGCAGUGAGGAAUAUUGGUCAAUGGACGGAAGUCUGAACCAGCCAUGCCGCGUGCAGGAAGACGGCUCUAUGAGUUGUAAACUGCUUUUGUACAAGGGUAAACCUGAAUACGUGUAUUCAGCUGAAAGUACUGUACGAAUAAGGAUCGGCUAACUCCGUGCCAGCAGCCGCGGUAAGGCGGAGGAUCCAAGCGUUAUCCGGAUUUAUUGGGUGUAAAGGGUGCGUAGGCGGAUUUAUUAGUUAGAGGUGAAAUGUCAGGGCUAAACUCGGGAACUGCCUCUAAUACUGUGGGUCUAGAGAGUAGAUGCGGUAGGCGGAAUGUAUGGUGUAGCGGUGAAAGGCUUAGAGAUCAUACAGAACACCGAUUGCGAAGGCAGCUUACCAAACUAUAUCUGACGUUGCGGCACGAAAGCGUGGGGAGCAAACAGGAUUAGAUACCCCUGUAGUC
rnacentral:rRNA from 1 species